rnacentral:tRNA from 1 species
GGGGGCGUAGUUCAAUUGGUUAGAGCGCCGGCCUGUCACGCCGGAGGUUGCGGGUUCAAGCCCCGUCGCUCCCG